AGCUUUCUCUAUCUCCUUUAUACUUUAAUAAAACUUUAUUACACAAAAGCUCUGAGCGAUCAAGCCUCGUCUCUGGCCCCGGAUUGAAUUCUUCUCCUCCGGGGGCCAAGAAUCCCCGUGUAUUUGCAUGAUUCAACUACAACCUUUCAUCUUGGGGGCUCGUCCGGGAUCCUUCAGGACAAGGGAACCAGUGCUCUGUUAGCGGAGCUUGUGGCUCUGACUCGAGCUCUAGAGUUAAACAAAGGGCAGGGGAUAGGCCUGAUAAUCUAUGUGAGUCUACUUCUGCUGACUCCAAAUAUCCUGAGUCUGCCGUUGGAUCCUCAAGACAAUGUCUUCCUGUCCUGGGCUCACUCCUAUGC